GCCGGGGUAGUUCAGCGGUUAGAACGUCGCACUCAUAAGGCGAAAGUCGUGGGUUCGAUUCCCACCCCCGGUA
rnacentral:tRNA from 5 species